rnacentral:rRNA from 1 species
UACGUAGGGUGCGAGCGUUGUCCGGAAUUAUUGGGCGUAAAGGGCUCGUAGGCGGUUUGUCGCGUCGGGGGUGAAAACCAGGUGCUUAACACCUGGCUUGCUUUCGAUACGGGCAGACUAGAGGUAUGCAGGGGAGAACGGAAUUCCUGGUGUAGCGGUGAAAUGCGCAGAUAUCAGGAGGAACACCGGUGGCGAAGGCGGUUCUCUGGGCAUGACCUGACGCUGAGGAGCGAAAGUGUGGGGAGCGAACAGG